ncrna:Cohnella thermotolerans DSM 17683 L31-Firmicutes ribosomal protein leader
CUCUGGAUCCGCAUGUGGUUCAGGGCAGAAAGAG